GGAAACAUUAGGGGGAGUUCUGCUCAGCGGUAUCUGCAAGGACUUGAGGAGUUGAGGGGUCCAGUUUUCGAUGAAGGAUUUCAUUUAGUCUUUGGUGGAUGCUGUAAUUCUUUCCAUUGUGAUGUGGUCUGAAGACCCAAAAGGGUGGACAGUUUGUGUAUGUGUAACGGCCGUUGUUGGUGGAAGAAGAGGAGGACCAAUGCGCAGCGUGAAACCAUACUCAAUCAUACUCUUUCAAGUAGUCUUUAUUCAUGUGAUUGCCCUCUGUGCUGGGACACUUUUUGUGCUACAAUAAAUGGUUAAAUGUU
ensembl:lncRNA